rnacentral:rRNA from 1 species
UACGUAGGGGCUAGCGUUAUCCGGAAUUACUGGGCGUAAAGGGUGCGUAGGCGGCCUUGUAAGUCAGCGGUGAAAUUUUGCAGCUUAACUGUAAAAGUGCCGUUGAUACUGUGAGGCUAGGAUUUGGUUGCUGUGGGUGGAAUGUGUGGUGUAGCGGUGAAAUGCUUAGAGAUCACACAGAAUAUCGAUUGCGAAGGCAGCUCACAAAGCCAAGAUUGACGCUGAGGCACGAAAGUGUGGGGAUCAAACAGGAUUA